CUGUUCACAGAUGCUGUCAUAAUCACCAGCAAUGGACUCUCUAUGCUCUUUGCAGUCCUCAACCUUAGGCAGCGAGAGGCUCUUACGCCUCUUUUGCAUUUCCUUGGUGUCUCCUUCUCCACUCUUCCUUGCCUGGAGGGGAACUUUGGCUACAGUCAUCAGGACAGGCCUGGAUCUCCCCCGGUUGACAUCGAACACCAGCAGACUAACAACUAGUUUUAUGAAAAGCUUUUAUCACAAAUCUGCCACGCCUAAAAGACCUCGACAUGGAUGAACCACACAAUUCAGUGCUUUGAGCAUUCACACCUCUAAAGCUCAAGUUAUAUUCAACAGCAGUGACUGAGCCCCACAGACAGCUCAUGCAAACCCUGCUGCCUCGCGUGGCUCUGUCUGAGCAGAUUACAUGCAGAGGCUAAGAA